rnacentral:snRNA from 1 species
GUUCAUUCCUGAACAUAUACUAAAAUUGGAACGAUACAGAGAAGAUUAGCGUGGCCCCUGUGCGGAGAUGUACACGCAUAUUCGUGAUGUGUUCCAAUGUUUU